AACGAACGCUGGCGGCAUGCCUAACACAUGCAAGUCGAACGAGACCUUCGGGUCUAGUGGCGCACGGGUGCGUAACGCGUGGGAACCUGCCCUUAGGUUCGGAAUAACUCCCCGUAAGGGGUGCUAAUACCGGAUAAUCUCUUCGGACCAAAGAUUUCUCGCCUUUGGGUGGGCCCGCGUUGGAUUAGCUGGUUGGGAGGGUAAAAGCCUACCAAGGCGUCGAUCCAUAGCUGGUCUGAGAGGAUGCUCAGCUACGCUGGGACUGCGACCCGGCCCAGACUCCUACGGGAGGCAGCAGUGGGGAAUAUUGGACAAGGGGCGAAAGCCUGAUCCAGCAAUGCCGCGUGAGUGAUGAAGGCCUUAGGGUUGUAAAGCUCUUUUACCCGGGAUGAUAAUGACAGUACCGGGAGAAUAAGCUCCGGCUAACUCCGUG
rnacentral:rRNA from 1 species